CGCUGGCGGCGUGCCUAACACAUGCAAGUCGAACGGGGUAAAGAGCUUCGGUUUUUUACUUAGUGGCGAACGGGUGAGUAACGCGUGAAGAACCUGCCUUUCAGUGGGGGACAACAGUUGGAAACGACUGCUAAUACCGCAUGACACUUCUGAGUGGCAUCACUUAGAAGUCAAAGCUUUAUGUGCUGAAGGAGAAGGAUGGGGAUGCGUCUGAUUAGCUUGUUGGCGGGGUAACGGCCCACCAAGGCGACGAUCAGUAGGGGUUCUGAGAGGAAGGUCCCCCACAUUGGAACUGAGACACGGUCCAAACUCCUACGGGAGGCAGCAGUGAGGAAUAUUGGUCAAUGGGCGAGAGCCUGAACCAGCCAAGUAGCGUGCAGGACGACGGCCCUAUGGGUUGUAAACUGCUUUUAUAAGGGAAUAAAGUGAGUCUCGUGAGACUUUUUGCAUGUACCUUAUGAAUAAGGACCGGCUAAUUCCGUG
rnacentral:rRNA from 1 species